ensembl:snRNA U6 U6 spliceosomal RNA
GUGUGCACUCCAGCAGCACAUAUACUAAAAUUGGAACAAUACAGAGAUUAUCAUGAUGCCUGCACAAGGAUGACAUGCAAAUUCGAGAAGUGUUCCAUAUUUAU